rnacentral:rRNA from 1 species
UACGGAGGGGGCUAGCGUUGUUCGGAAUUACUGGGCGUAAAGCGCGCGUAGGCGGACCUGCAAGUCGGGGGUGAAAGCCCGAGGCUCAACCUCGGAACUGCCUUCGAUACUGCGGGUCUCGAGCCGGGGAGAGGUGAGUGGAAUUCCUAGUGUAGAGGUGAAAUUCGUAGAUAUUAGGAAGAACACCAGUGGCGAAGGCGGCUCACUGGCCCGGUACUGACGCUGAGGCACGAAAGCGUGGGGGAGC